rnacentral:lncRNA from 10 species
GAGUGACAUGCUUGAGGAAGAGUGAUGAAUAAUACUGAGGAUGAUUCAACGUCUCUUGGUUUUACUUCUGCACCACCCAAACAGAAAAUAAUUAGACAAGAACAUUUCUUUUUCUAUAUCAGUGUCAUAACAUGUAUUAUUACAGUGCGGUGUAACCACAUGUCAGAAGAGAAUGUGUAGCUCAAAACACUGAACUAGGUGGAGAGGCCGAGGCCUUAAUUCUCCAAGAGACUGGGACCUGUGCUGGGUUCUAGCGCCUGUUCAGCGUCAGAAUCAUCAGCUGGAUGAGAAAACCAAGACUUGAAAUGAUC